CCCGGGAUUCGGUAAUGAGCCAUCCGCGGACUUUCAUUUGUAAACCUCCUAAAUCUCCUUCUGCAGUAAUCACAGACUGCGCGCGCAGGAAGAGAAAACGUUUUUAAAACUAAGUUCCCCCUUAUGACUCCGAGCUAGUUCCAUCCAAUUUAACAGGAGGGCGCGAACAACUGUUUCCAGGAUGCUAAUUUGCGCAGGAUUUUCAGUGUCGUUCUAAUUGUAAACACCGGCUAACUGAUUCAAUUAAUUGCCUUGGUAAGCAAUUGCUAAGCCCGAACAGACCAAAUAAACGGCAGUGUGUUUAACGGAUAGAUAAAUUCCAUGGAUGUCCUUCUGCAGUAAAAAACGAGAUUUAGGACAAGGAGGAAUGGGUAUAACGCACAGGAUAGUUCACACGAGGCCAACCCAGGCUUAAGGAAAGCCUUAUUGAACACAAACGCUGAAGACCGGAGAGGUGUUCUUCCAAGCAGGGCCAGAUGUUUAUCUCAACCGAUAGAGAGGCUGUCGGGAAAAAAAAAAGCAAACGAUGACUGAGAGACAGGAACACACAAGGGACGGACACCAAAGCACGCGACUGAACGUACCCCCACAUCCUCAAAGAUGAAUGGCGGCCAUUGUUCGCACAACUUCAAGGCUGAAGGCUCUGAAUGUUCAGCUGAAAGUGGUCUACUUCAAGUGGCUAAACGUUUCACAGUGGACAUCACUGCAGAGAAACGUCGACAAAUUAAAAGAAAACAAAAGAGAAUUUCUCAAUUAAAAUGGAGGCUGAAGAAUAAAAUGCCAGCAGCAAUUGAAUUAACGAGUCAUUACAGGAAGUGGGUUUUUGAUCAAGAUUGAAGUGUGGAUGUGGAAGGACUUUUCGUCAUACAGUACGUCCUGGCAGGAUAUCCUACAGCUUGUCAGCCUUUUGCAGAAUCAGCCGAGUCGCUCUCUGAGUUUAAAACAGGUUUUGUGCACGCAGAGGAAAAACUCUGCCGAAACAGCCCCAGAGGGACCCUCACAGGAGGUGAAAAAUUUGGUUAAAUACUCAGGGGCCAAGCCGUGUAAUGCCUCGAAUGAAAACAGAAAUAUUUUAAAUGACAACAUGGCAAAGACAAGAACUUCUUGAAGUCUGCGGUACGCAAAGGACCUGCCGCCCGGAAGCCUGCCUUGCUGUUGGGGCUCGACUGAAGAGCAUUGCAGGUGUACAUGUUUCGAUUGCAUCAGGCUUCCUUCAAGAUCUCGGCUUCGCAAAAAAACACAACUGUUUGCCAUCAGAUGAAAUAAAAAAAAAAGUGCUUUGAGGUAUUGUAUUUGACAGGAAAAAAGAUGUCUUGCGACAGGUUUUCACUACGUGUCAGACAAUGACUUUAAAGAAACAAACAAAAAAAAAUCAAUAACGCACUGCUUCUUUUGGUUCUGUGCUUGGUUUUCCACUUGGUAUAUGCCAGUAGUUAUGCUUCUCCAGAACAAAGGAGGGGGGGGGUUAAAAGCCUGUCAUUUUUAAUUUCUCAUUUGUUCCAAGUUAGUUAGUUUAAACAGACAAAAAAAAAUGCCAGCAUCCGCAAGGACAUGUGAUAUUAUUACCAGACAAUGACAAAAUAUUGAAGAAAAAAAAAGACAUGCUCCUUCGUAUCACCUUGUUCAACAGGGUGUACUGAAUGUAUGCUUAUACUCCUUCAAGGAUAAAAGCCUCUCUUCAAAGCAUAGGAGGAUAACGAAGUAAAAACACCUAUCCAGAGCUUUUCCCUGUAGGCAAUCUAUCCUUUUCAUUUUCAAAUUUGUAUUUGCCACUGGUUUUGCAUACCUUUCAUGUUUUCUAAGUCUUGGGAGUACCAGUGAGACAUUUAUGAUAUGAUUUUGUUUAAAUGUAAAUAUUUGCUCAUAUUGUUUUUAUUUUCCUUGUUAUUAUUCUGUGCAGGGGAUGGUGUCUGCGUUGUAUGACCAAUCAGGAUACAGACACGUUACCUUUAUACUUACAUGGCUAGUGAUCUACUUUAGUACAGGUUCCUGAACAUGUGCAAUCAUCUCAAAUGCACUCCAAUCUCACUUCAGUAUUCAAUCUUCAAGAAAAGCCUGCCAGUGGUGAUUGAUGCUGCAGCAACGUGUACCGAUGGCCACAUGAUACUUUUGACCAAUGGGAGUAACUCCAUAAAAUUAUCUGAUGAUUUACUGCUAACGUGCUAUGUUCCUAUGCGUUUAAAAUUUCUGCAGUGUUUAUUUAAUACUUACGUUAUCUAACACUGAAAAAAUUGUGAUACUGUAAUGCCAAAAAAAUUCAGAAGGAAGUAUGCCAUGUAUUCACAAAGUGUAGUAUACACAAUUAAACUAAGUGGUACACGUAUCGAAUGUCAUAAGCGUAUUUUGUUGUUAAACAAUAUCGCAUGUACAAAAGAACUGUUGCGUUGCCAUGGUUAAUUUAAUUUGUGCUCACACAUUAUUGUUUUCAUCCAAUAUGCAUGCUGUGUGCGCAAAUAAACAUAAUCUUAAUUUA